rnacentral:rRNA from 1 species
AUUGAACGCUGGCGGCAUGCCUUACACAUGCAAGUCGAACGGUAACAGGUCUUCGGAUGCUGACGAGUGGCGAACGGGUGAGUAAUACAUCGGAACGUGCCCGAUCGUGGGGGAUAACGAAGCGAAAGCUUUGCUAAUACCGCAUAAGAUCUACGGAUGAAAGCAGGGGACCGCAAGGCCUUGCGCGAACGGAGCGGCCGAUGGCAGAUUAGGUAGUUGGUGGGAUAAAAGCUUACCAAGCCGACGAUCUGUAGCUGGUCUGAGAGGACGACCAGCCACACUGGGACUGAGACACGGCCCAGACUCCUACGGGAGGCAGCAGUGGGGAAUUUUGGACAAUGGGCGAAAGCCUGAUCCAGCCAUGCCGCGUGCAGGAUGAAGGCCUUCGGGUUGUAAACUGCUUUUGUACGGAACGAAAAGACUCUGGUUAAUACCUGGGGUCCAUGACGGUACCGUAAGAAUAAGCACCGGCUAACUACGUGCCAGCCGCCGCAGUAAAAC